GAUGUACUCCAUCCAUCCGAAAAUACUAGUCAUCAAAAUGGAUAAAAGGGGAUGUAUCUAGAUGUAUUUUAGUUCUAGAUACAUCUCUUUUUAUCCAUUUUGAUGACAAGUAUUUUCGGAUGGAGGGAGUACUAG
rnacentral:pre_miRNA from 1 species